rnacentral:rRNA from 1 species
CCUACGGGAGGCAGCAGUGAGGAAUAUUGGUCAAUGGGCGUAAGCCUGAACCAGCCAAGUCGCGUGAGGGAUGAAGGUUCUAUGGAUCGUAAACCUCUUUUAUAAGGGAAUAAAGUGUGGGACGUGUCCUGUUUUGUAUGUACCUUAUGAAUAAGGAUCGGCUAACUCCGUGCCAGCAGCCGCGGUAAUACGGAGGAUCCGAGCGUUAUCCGGAUUUAUUGGGUUUAAAGGGUGCGUAGGCGGGCUUUUAAGUCAGCGGUGAAAGUCUGUGGCUCAACCCUAGAAUUGCCGUUGAAACUGGGAGGCUUGAGUAUGUUUGAGGCAGGCGGAAGGCGUGGGGUAGCGGUGAAAUGCUUAGAUAUCACGCAGAACCCCGAUUGCGAAGGCAGCCUGCCAAGCCAUGACUGACGCUGAUGCACGAAAGCGUGGGGAUCAAACAGGAGUAGAUACCCCUGUAGUC